rnacentral:rRNA from 1 species
CACGUAGGGCGCAAGCGUUGUCCGGAAUUAUUGGGCGUAAAGAGCUCGUAGGUGGUUUGUUACGUCUGCUGUGAAAACCUAGGGCUUAACCCUGGGCUUGCAGUGGAUACGGGCAGACUAGAGGUAGGUAGGGGAGAAUGGAAUUCCUGGUGUAGCGGUGAAAUGCGCAGAUAUGAGGAGGAACACCAAUGGCGAAGGCAGCUCGCUGGAACGGUACUGACGCUGAGGCGCGAAAGCGUGGGGAGCGAACGGG